rnacentral:RNase_P_RNA from 1 species
GGGCACAGGCAAGGGUGAAAGGGUGCGGUAAGAGCGCACCGGGCCGCUGGCAACAGGGGUCGCACGGCAAACCCCACCCGGAGCAAGGCCAAAUAGGGGACGAGGGGCCGCCUGUCCCACCCGAGUCCCGGGUAGGCCGCUCGAGGUUCGGAGCGAUCCGGACCCCAGAUAAAUGAUCCCGGUCCGCCCCGGGGGCGCGACAACAGAACUCGGCUUACGACGCCCGUCCUCCU